UUGUUAGUUAAAACUCGCAAAGAGUAUGAUAAGACGACAGUAAGAAGAGAAAUGAGAGAGGUCAGUUGGUGAAAACCUACAAAGGGCGCCACUAAUUGAAAAAGGAUCCCAUACAACCAUCAGUACUGAUAGAGUCCUGAUAGGGUUUUGAGGUUUUGAGGUAUGGGAUAUGAUGGGUUUAUGAUAGUUGAAUGGUUUGCAUAGAUCGGCUAUCCAGUCCAAGAAGCAUGUCAUGUUUAUUUAAGUCUGCACACACUCCAGAUAAGUCUUUCUUUCCUUUCCCUGAAAGGUACACUUCUUGUAUAAAUUCGUUUCCCUCUCCAUUAUUUUUUUUCUCAUUGAAUCCCUUUUCGGUCUAACUCCCUUUGGAAACUAAUACAAAUAAAAU
rnacentral:lncRNA from 1 species